UUUAUACUAUACAAUUAAAAUGUGUACAAAUUGUUGUUAGUAAUAGUAUAAAUUUAUUGAAUUGUAAUAAUAAUUCCGAGAAACGGUCAAUCGCUCAAUAAAGAAAUAAUUAUGACAUAAUAGUGUGUUUUAAUUUCUAAAAAUUAUUGAAAUAUCAACACAGCGAUAAGGAAAAAGUAAUAUAAUGCGUAAGUUAACAAUUUUUGAGCCAUUUGCCUACAAACGUGUUCGUUGGUGGUCAGGAACAUGUUUCGAAACGAGAGGUCCUCUUGCAACACUUGAUGAAAGUUAAAUAAUAUACACGAUAGUUACAAAUCUUCGGAUAAAUUAUAGAAGAAAUGCCAAAUAGCCGAACCUCAGUCUUCAUUGUACUAGUUUUUCUCAUUAAGCUAAAUAUCAUGCAGGGCAGGGAUUUUGGUGAUUCCUUCCUAUUUGAUAACGAAGAAACGUACAAUUACGGAGUACCAUUGAAUAAUUACCAACCAUCUCAUCAAUUAGGACCUCGGACUUUACCCCAAAACAAAUAUCCCGGUCCAUAUACAUCCCCUAACCCUUAUUAUCCUUACCAGUUACCAACAGUCAUAUCAUUAGAUGGAAAUAACAAUAAUAAUGGUAACAGGAAAAGCAAAAAAAAUGACGAUAAUUUCAAUAUGUUUGACAUCCUAUCUUUAUGGAUCGGUAGUCAGAACGACUGUCCCGUCUAUUUGCCAUAUCCUAUACCUAUUCCUAUACCUUGUAUGGCCGAUGGCGAUGAUUCUUGGCUUGAUGUGUUCAAAAAAGAGCAGUGGGAAGAUAAUGGGUGGUUUCCUGAUCCAAGUUCCGGACGUAAACGGAAAAGAGGUAGGUCAAAUAAAAAAGGCAAAUCUACCAAACAAUCGAAAUCAAACACACAAACCUCGCACUGUUCUACCAACAAAAACAAGCAUUGCUCUGGAAAAAGUGACACCACUAAACAUUAUUUUACGGGAAAGAAAUCAGCAAGAAGUAAACCGCAGAAGAACAGUACAGUCGAGUAUGACGACCAAAAAGGUAGUGCAACAAUACAAGCAGGUUGCAAUAUGGUUACUAUUAGUUACUCGAAACCUGAUAACGAUUACGAUAAAGAGGGUUACGUUGAAGAGGAAGAACCUUGCAAUGCAAAUUGCGACAAGAAAAAAGUUUAUCGAACACAAAUUGUUAUUGAAACUUCGUGAAUUACAUUAUGUUAAUGUUCUAGAUUAGAUAGUAUAUAGAUUUAUGUAAUUGGUUGAAAUAUGAAAUAAUAAAUAUAUAUUGUUAUUA